rnacentral:rRNA from 1 species
AGGGAAACCGAGUCUUAAUUGGGCGUUAAGUUGCAGGGUAUAGACCCGAAACCCGGUGAUCUAGCCAUGGGCAGGUUGAAGGUUGGGUAACACUAACUGGAGGACCGAACCGACUAAUGUUGAAAAAUUAGCGGAUGACCUGUGGCUGGGGGUGAAAGGCCAAUCAAACCGGGAGAUAGCUGGUUCUCCCCGAAAGCUAUUUAGGUAGCGCCUCGUGAAUUCAUCUCCGGGGGUAGAGCACUGUUUCGGCUAGGGGGCCAUCCCGGCUUACCAACCCGAUGCAAACUGCGAAUACCGGAGAAUGUUAUCACGGGAGACACACGGCGGGUGCUAACGUCCGUCGUGAAGAGGGAAACAACCCAGACCGCCAGCUAAGGUCCCAAAGUCAUGGUUAAGUGGGAAACGAUGUGGGAAGGCCCAGACAGCCAGGAUGUUGGCUUAGAAGCAGCCAUCAUUUAAAGAAAGCGUAAUAGCUCACUGGUCGAGUCGGCCUGCGCGGAAGAUGUAACGGGGCUAAACCAUGCACCGAAGCUGCGGCAGCGAACGUAUCACUUAAAGCGAUUCAGCGGGUUACGAUUGACGGAGCGAAGCGACGUCAAAGCGUAUACAAAGUCGAGUCGGUUUAAGGAUACGUUCGUUGGGUAGGGGAGCGUUCUGUAAGCCUGUGAAGGUGGCCUGUGAGGGUUGCUGGAGGUAUCAGAAGUGCGAAUGCUGACAUAAGUAACGAUAAAGCGGGUGAAAAGCCCGCUCGCCGGAAGACCAAGGGUUCCUGUCCAACGUUAAUCGGGGCAGGGUGAGUCGACCCCUAAGGCGAGGCCGAAAGGCGUAGUCGAUGGGAAACGGGUUAAUAUUCCCGUACUUGGUGUUACUGCGAAGGGGGGACGGAGAAGGCUAUGUUGGCCGGGCGACGGUUGUCCCGGUUUAAGCGUGUAGGUGUGUGUUCCAGGUAAAUCCGGUUCACUUUAACACUGAGGCGUGACGACGAGGCACUACGGUGCUGAAGCAACAAAUGCCCUGCUUCCAGGAAAAGCCUCUAAGCAUCAGGUAACAUCAAAUCGUACCCCAAACCGACACAGGUGGUCAGGUAGAGAAUACCAAGGCGCUUGAGAGAACUCGGGUGAAGGAACUAGGCAAAAUGGUGCCGUAACUUCGGGAGAAGGCACGCUGACACGUAGGUGAAGUGAUUUACUCACGGAGCUGAAGUCAGUCGAAGAUACCAGCUGGCUGCAACUGUUUAUUAAAAACACAGCACUGUGCAAACACGAAAGUGGACGUAUACGGUGUGACGCCUGCCCGGUGCCGGAAGGUUAAUUGAUGGGGUCAGCGCAAGCGAAGCUCCUGAUCGAAGCCCCGGUAAACGGCGGCCGUAACUAUAACGGUCCUAAGGUAGCGAAAUUCCUUGUCGGGUAAGUUCCGACCUGCACGAAUGGCGUAAUGAUGGCCAGGCUGUCUCCACCCGAGACUCAGUGAAAUUGAACUCGCUGUGAAGAUGCAGUGUACCCGCGGCAAGACGGAAAGACCCCGUGAACCUUUACUAUAGCUUGACACUGAACAUUGAGCCUUGAUGUGUAGGAUAGGUGGGAGGCUUUGAAGUGUGGACGCCAGUCUGCAUGGAGCCGACCUUGAAAUACCACCCUUUAAUGUUUGAUGUUCUAACGUGGACCCGUAAUCCGGGUUGCGGACAGUGUCUGGUGGGUAGUUUGACUGGGGCGGUCUCCUCCUAAAGAGUAACGGAGGAGCACGAAGGUUGGCUAAUCCUGGUCGGACAUCAGGAGGUUAGUGCAAUGGCAUAAGCCAGCUUGACUGCGAGCGUGACGGCGCGAGCAGGUGCGAAAGCAGGUCAUAGUGAUCCGGUGGUUCUGAAUGGAAGGGCCAUCGCUCAACGGAUAAAAGGUACUCCGGGGAUAACAGGCUGAUACCGCCCAAGAGUUCAUAUCGACGGCGGUGUUUGGCACCUCGAUGUCGGCUCAUCACAUCCUGGGGCUGAAGUAGGUCCCAAGGGUAUGGCUGUUCGCCAUUUAAAGUGGUACGCGAGCUGGGUUUAGAACGUCGUGAGACAGUUCGGUCCCUAUCUGCCGUGGGCGCUGGAGAACUGAGGGGGGCUGCUCCUAGUACGAGAGGACCGGAGUGGACGCAUCACUGGUGUUCGGGUUGUCAUGCCAAUGGCACUGCCCGGUAGCUAAAUGCGGAAGAGAUAAGUGCUGAAAGCAUCUAAGCACGAAACUUGCCCCGAGAUGAGUUCUCCCUGAGACUUAGAGUCUCCUGAAGGAACGUUGAAGACGACGACG